UAGUGAGUUUGAUCCUGGCUCAGAACGAACGCUGGCGGCAGGCCUAACACAUGCAAGUCGAGCGCCCCGCAAGGGGGAGCGGCGGACGGGUGAGUAACGCGUGGGAACGUGCCCCUUUCUACGGAAUAGCCUCGGGAAACUGGGAGUAAUACCGGAUGUGCCCUUCGGGGGAAAGAUUUAUCGGCAAAGGAUCGGCCCGCGUUGGAUUAGCUAGUUGGUGAGGUAAAGGCUCACCAAGGCCACGAUCUGUAGCUGGUCUGAGAGGACGACCAGCCACACUGGGGACUGAGACACGGCCCAGACUCCUACGGGAGCAGCAGUGGGGAAUUUUGGACAAUGGGCGCAAGCCUGAUCCAGCAAUGCCGCGUG
rnacentral:rRNA from 1 species